rnacentral:rRNA from 1 species
AGAGUUUGAUCAUGGCUCAGAACGUACGCUGGCGGCACGCCUAACACAUGCAAGUCGAACGAAGUAGCAAUACUUAGUGGCGAACGGGUGAGUAUAAUGUGGGUAUCUGCCCUUUGGUCUGGAAUAACACGGGGAAACUUGUGCUAAUACUGGAUAAGCCUUUACAGGGAAAGCUUUAGCGCCAAUGGAUGAGCUCACACUUGAUUAACUAGUUGGUAGGGUAAUGGCCUGCCAAGGUUGCGAUCAAUAGCUGAUCUGAGAGGAUGAUCAGCCACAUUGGGACUGAGACACGGCCCAGACUCCUACGGGAGGCAGCAGUGGGGAAUCUUGCACAAUGGGGGAAACCCUGAUGCAGCGAUGCCGCGUGAGUGAAGAAGGCCUUUGGGUUGUAAAGCUCUUUCGUCGGGGAAGAAAAUGACUGUACCCGAAUAAGAAGGUCCGGCUAACUUCGUGCCAGCAGCCGCGGUAAUACGAAGGGACCUAGCGUAGUUCGGAAUUACUGGGCUUAAGAGCACGUAGGUGGUUAAAAAGUUGGUGGUGAAAUCCCANGCUUAACNUGGAACUGCCCCCAAACUUUUACUAGAGUGUGAUAGAGGUAGCGG